AGCUCCAGUAGCGUAUAUUAAAGUUGUUGCAGUUAAAAAGCUCGUAGUUGGAUUUCUGGUUGACCAUCCUGGCCCGCGUCCUUACGGGCGUGUGUGCUGGUAUGAGUCUUCCAUCCUUCUAGAGAGCCGUGCCUGCUGUUCACUCAGCUGGGCGUGUGCGAUCUAGAUCAUUUACUUUGAAAAAAUUAGAGUGUUUAAAGCAGGCUUAUGCCAGAAUACAUUAGCAUGGAAUAAUAAAAUAGGACUUUGGUUCUAUUUUGUUGGUUUCUAGAACUGAAGUAAUGAUUGAUAGGGAUAGUUGGGGGUGCUAGUAUUCCGCGGCCAGAGGUGAAAUUCUUGGAUUCGCGGAAGACUAACUACUGCGAAAGCAUUCACCAAGGAUGUCUUCU
rnacentral:rRNA from 1 species